rnacentral:rRNA from 1 species
ACUUUUCACAGCUUGCUGAGGAAUGAACUGAGUGCCUUACGGGUGAGUAACACGUAGGGAACCUGCCCAUAUACCCGGGAUAACAAACGGAAACGUUUGCUAAAACCGGAUAGGUAAUCGGAAGGCAUCUUCCGAUUAUGGAAGCAGCGACAGCUGUGGAUAUGGAUGGACCUGCGGCGUAUUAGCCAGUUGGCGGGGUAACGGCCCACCAAAGCGAUGGUACGUAGCCGGCCUGAGAGGGUAAACGGCCACAUUGGGACUGAGACACGGCCCAAACUCCUACGGGAGGCAGCAGUAGGGAAUUUUCGUCAAUGGGGGGAACCCUGAACGAGCAAUGCCGCGUGAGUGAAGAAGGUUUUCGGAUCGUAAAGCUCUGUUGUAAGAGAAAAAGGGUGAUAACAGGAAAUGGUUAACACUUGAUGGUAUCUUACGAGGAAGCCACGGCUAACUACGUGCCAGCAGCCGCGGUAAUACGUAGGUGGCGAGCGUUAUCCGGAAUGAUUGGGCGUAAAGGGUGCGCAGGCGGUUGUAUAAGUCUGAAGUAAAAGCCAUCGGCUCAACCGAUGUAAGCUUUGGAAACUGUGUAACUAGAGUGCAGGAGAGGGCAGUGGAAUUCCAUGUGUAGCGGUAAAAUGCGUAGAUAUACGGAGGAACACCAGUGGCGAAGGCGGCUGCCUGGCCUGUAACUGACGCUGAGGCACGAAAGCGUGGGGAGCAAGUAGGAUUAGAUACCCUAGUAGUCCACGCUG